rnacentral:rRNA from 1 species
AGUCUAGAGAAUCGUUUUCCGCGUUGGCCUGUGUACAAGUCCCUUGGAACAGGGCGUCAUAGAGGGUGAGAAUCCCGUCCUUGACACAGAUUACCAAUGCUUUGUGAUGCGAUCUCGAAGAGUCGAGUUGUUUGGGAAUGCAGCUCAAAAUGGGUGGUAAAUUCCAUCUAAAGCUAAAUAUUGGCGAGAGACCGAUAGCGAACAAGUACCGUGAGGGAAAGAUGAAAAGCACUUUGGAAAGAGAGUUAAACAGUACGUGAAAUUGUUAAAAGGGAAACGAUUGAAGUCAGUCAUGCUUUCCGAGACUCAGCCGAUUCUGUCGGUGUACUUCUCGGUUGGCAGGCCAGCAUCAGUUUCGAUCUGUGGAAAAGGUUGGAGGGAACGUGGCAUCCUCGGAUGUGUUAUAGCCCUUCUUCGAAUACAUAGAGCGGGACUGAGGAACGCAGCGCGCCUUUUAUUAGGUUGGCCCUCGGGUACAUACGCGCUUAGGAUGCUGGCAUAAUGGCUUUAAACGACCCGUCUUG